GGGGAUGGCUACCCACUCCAGGAUUCUUGCCUGGAGAAUUCCAUGGGGUCACAAAGAGUCAGACACGACUGGGUGACUUUCACUUUCACCCUGUUAAGCAGGUGCCAGGCUCUGUACAGACAAGGAAACUGCCUUAGAGGCGUUAGCAGCAGGCAGUAACCACAUUGACUCUGGGCCCGUACAGCUGCCAGGCUCGACUUAAAUGUUGUUACUUAAUAUUGUAUGUCAUCACUCCUGAGACCUAGCCUUACACUUUAACAGUUUUCACAGUGGGACAUAUAUGCUGUCCUAGGUUCACUGCAGUGUUGGAAGCGCAAAUAACAAAAUGAGGUGUAUGUCCAAAACUAUCUGCCGUUCACAGUGAAUGCAAACAAUGAAUUCACAUGACGAUUUCAAGUUAGUGUGAUGGAAUUUGACCAAAGUUAAAUUGUCCAUUCACUGCCCACCAGGUCAUUAAUGAUGCUGCUCUUGCCAAAAUUGCUCAUCACCUCCUUGUCACCAAAUCCAAUGGGUUAUUCCCUAGUUUCUCUCCUGCCCUUCUGGCAGCACUGCACACGGUUGGUGACCUCUUUGCAAGUCUCAUUUCCACCCUCUGGUCUUCCAGCUCACCAUCGCCACCUGAGUCUCCUUGGCUGUCUCCUCCAUUAACCUCUCUGUGGGCCCUUUUUCCUUCUUAAUUUCAUCAUCACACACAGCUCUUGAUGCUGUUUCCUUCAGUUCAGUCACUCAGUCAUGUCAGACUCUGUGACCCCAUGGACUGCAGCACGCCAGGCCUCCCUGUCCAUCAUCAACUCCCGAAGUUUACUCAAACUCGGGUCCAUUGAGUCGGUGAUGCCAUACAACCAUCUCAUCCUGUCAUCCCCUUCUCCUGCCUUCAAUCUUUCCCAGGAUCAGGGUCUUUUUAAAUGAGUCAGGUCUUCGCAUCAGCUGGCCAGAGUAUUGGAGUUUCAGCUUUAACAUCAGUCCUUCAAAUGAAUAUUCAGGACUAAUUUCCUCGAGGAUGGACUGGUUGGAUUUCCUUGCUGUCCAAGGGACUCUCAAGAGUCUUCUCCAACACCACAGUUCAAAAGCGUCAGUUCUUCGGUGCUCAGCUUUCUUUAUAGUCCGACUCUCAUAUACAUACUGGAAAAACCAUACCUUUGACUAGACGGACCUUUGUUGGCAAAGUAAUGUCUCUGCGUUUAGUAUGCUGUCUAGGUUGGUCAUAACUUUGCUUGCAAGGAACAAGUGUCUUAAUUUCAUGGCUGCAGUCACCAUCUGCAGUGAUUUUGGAGCCCCCCCAAAUUAAGUCUGUCACUGUUUCCUGAAGACCAGAAUUUAUUUCUCCCACCCGCACCUCUGUGGGCUCCAGGCUUGGCUAGAUGUCUCAUAGGCAUGAUCUCAAAUUGAUCAUGCCGCAAAUUGAAUUAUUUGAUUUUCCCUAUAAACAUGGUCUUCCACUUACCCUGUUUCAGGAAAAGACACCACUAGAUGCUGAAGCAAGGCUUUGGGAGCCGUCCUCAGCCAAUCGUCAACAAACCCUAAAGGCACUGCCUUCGGAAAUCUUACAUUUUCCCCGCUUUUUCCAUCUUCGCUGCAUACUACCCUCUAAUGGCACACCCUCCAAAGCAUUUGUACUGCAGCCCAAGUCCACUUGUUUACACGUUUAUGUUACUCCCUUUCUUAAAAUCUUUUAAUAAUAAAUGUGCCUAUUCAGGGCCUCGGGCAUCUCAUUUUCCAACUUUUCUUGUGAAAAAAAUUAAGAGCUUCCUUGCUUUCAUUUGUUGAUUCGGUAAAGAAUCUGCCUGCAAUGCAGGAGAUCUGGGUUCGAUCCCUGGGUUGGGA
ensembl:lncRNA